AUAACGAUAAUAUUUUGAAUCUUCAAAACUUGAGGUGAAUACAUUGCAGCGAUGAUCUCACCACAAUUAACUUACUCACUUUUGGAGAUCAUCUUAUUCUUUGGAAUCUAGUUAUUUUAAUUAUCCUUCACUUCUACCUUCGGGUAAUCUUUGUUGAAAGGGUGCAUUGUUCGCACUUCUUUGGUAGAGAUGAGUAGUGUUUAUUUGGGAGAAUUUUCUUGUAUUCGGAGGAAUCUAUUCAAGCUGGUCAACACGAAUUUAUUAAAUUCGUGGUAGAGUUGAGAAUUUACUAUCUGGUAAGGCAGAUAGUUUAGGGUUACAAAUGUUAACCCUUAUGCUAGCAAAUGAGAGUGGUAGGUGUGUCUUGUGCGGUUACGAUCAGACUGCAAAGAUCACACAGGAGAACGGUAUUCACGAAAUGGUGCUGAUCGAGCCAUGUAGUGUUACCGAAAGGUGGAAGACCAGCGUUUUCUUUACUUGAACUUGUGUUGUCAUUUGACGAUAGCUGCUUUGUUACUUUGGCUUGAAUUGUUUCUAUGCCUUACGUGCAUAUUCUGUUGAUUGUUGUUUUGCUCUAUGUGGACUUGCUGAGCAAUUUGAUUGCUCAUUCUUGCAUCUGUUUUAUUCCUGUUUGAGCAGUAAAUAGUGUGUAUGGCACAACUCAAGAGAACCGCCGGAAAUGGGUUUUUGGCAAAGACAGGGAAAGGGCGCAUCACCCAAGCUGAUACUGCUAGACUACUCAACUUGGUAGUACGAGCUAUAGUUAUUAUAAUGGUCUGAAAUCAGACUUCCCUUUAUGUAAUAAAGUUAGACUCAGUAGGAAUGUUGUAAGACAAUCGACCCUGGACUUGUGGGGCAAGAGUUGGAUUGUAUUAUAUUAAUAUGUAAUGCAAGUAUUGUUUUGAGCCAGAUGUUUAGUGGCGGACCAGAUCUGCGGGAUGUAGAUCUGGGGGCGUCACAGAUUUGGUAUCAGAGCCGUAGUUAUAUCCUUAGGAUUUGGGAAACCCUAGGAAUAUAACGAGUGAGAAUGACACGAAGUAUAAGAUAGGUAUCCUAGAUGAGCCUAUCUCCAUAUGUUAGAGAACAUAUAUGUCAAAUAAACUUUUAGUAGAGGGUUAGAUACCCUACAAAUAUAAACAUUUAUAGUUAUGAGCAAUGGUAGUAGUAACUAUUGGUAAUGAUGUUUGUGGUAUUACGUAGAUGUCAGGUUAUGAGGAUGAUUAUGAUCCAUCAAUGGAGAUUGAGAUGAUAGAUAUCGAGUUUGAGAAUUUUUCUAUAUAGAUAUUAGAGCCACUGGCACCUGAGAUCAUUAACUUAGUAUCUGAGGAGAACAAGGAUAGAGAAUCAUUUGAGUUCACUAAGAGUGCUUGGAUAAAUAUCUUUCUAUCCUUACCUGAUCUGACUUAUGUUCCUACUUUGACCACUUUCUUUUCGAUUAACACUUCUAUUGUUCUUCCACCUAUUUUUUUUGAGAGUGAGGACCUUUUCAUUUUAGACUUACUUCAACAUUUCGAGCCUACACCUCUUUCUUAUAGUCCUAUUACCACGCAUGCUUCUGAUUGUUAUCAUUUUUGGACUGUCGUAUCAUCUUUGAUUAGAGAUACUCCUAUACCAUCUUUAAGUGGCCACACUUUUGUUAAUACACUAUUCGAGCCUCGAGUUCAAAAUUCCACCCACUAUUACCAAUUUAUCCGAAAUUUUUGUGCCACUUACAGCUUUAUUCAUUAUUCUAGAUUCUGGACCUCUGAAUACUCCUUUUCAGAUUAGUGGAUGUUCUGUUGUACCGGUUUCUAUAAUUCCGAGUGGAGACUUUGUACCACUUUCAAAGUAGAUAUUUUUGGUUCACCAGUUGUAGCAGCUGAGAGAGUCUACUUAUGACUCUAAAUUUAGGAUUCCAGGAUCUUACGAUCCUAUGUUUAUUUAUGCGGGUUCAGGUUUUCAGGCCCGAGAGGUUAGUAUGGAGAUUGUAUAUCAGAUUUUGUUUCUGUAAUUGAAAGACUCCGUACUGAUAUCUGUAGGAUACCCUCCACCAACUUAGAGAUAUUUGGUUGAUAGAUUUGUUGUUUUAUGUAUAAUUGACUUUUGGGAGAUAACACAUAGUCCGUGUGUAUCUGAAUUAUAGUAUACGGUGUAUUUAGAGAAUAUGUAGACUUUGCAUAGUAUCGGAAUAGAGGAUCGUGCAUUUCCUUCUACUGAGAUGAGGAUACUAUAGUUUCGAUCAAUAGAUCAUUCUGGUAGUAGAGAUGUAGUAGGGUGAUGACCAGAUCAUAUAUACUUUUAUAUCAUGAUUUUUACCCUAAAAGUUUCGGAUAUUAUGACCAGUGGGAGGGAUGAUCAAUCUUUAUUUCAUAUUGUUGUCUCUUUCUUUGUUUAUACCUUCCCUAUGCUUCUUGCACUUGUCAACCACCUUUGACCUGUUUCAUUUCUAUCAAUUAUCUUGCAUUUGUUACAUCAAUGAUCCAAUGUGAAAUUUUAUGGGGAAAAAAAAAACAAAAGUAUAUGUGUUCAAUCUUUAAAGUUUUUGAAGGUUUUCAUAAAGAGAAAUGUUCAAGUUGCAAAAAUUUUAGAGUUUUCAAAAGAAAAGGUGCAACCUUUAAAGUUUCUAAAAGUUUUCCAAAAAUAUGCAGCUUUGGUUCAACUUGUCUUUUCAACCAAAAUAUGCAACAUGUUUUCAAAGUUUUGUACUAAGUAUUUUACAAAAUUGCACCUUGUUGUACCUUUGGAUAAACCUUGCAUUUUGUAUAAUGAGACCUAUUAACCUGUUUUGUCUACUCUUAUAGAUUGUGAUGGAUUCAAACCUGAAUGACAACCUUGUUGAUAAAUCAAUACUAGAUGCUUCACCCGGAUUUCAGUUCAGACCCAAUCAUGUUCAAUUACUAGACAACAUACCGAGAAUUUUUUUAAAACAAUCCUGAAAAAAAAAAACUGUUCUUCGAGUCAACUUACUAAACCUACCUUUCCAUUCAAAUCUUUCAAAUAUUUUCCACCACAAGAGUUUUAAAGGGACUGUAGAUCCCGUUGAGGCCAAGAUACGGCUAAGAGAGAUAGAGAAGACUUUUGAGAUGAUUGAUGUAGAAGAUGAUAAGGAAACUAUCUUUGAUACUUAUAAACUUAAUGAAGAAGCUAAUUAUUGGUGGGAAGCUAAGCAAGUUCUAGAAGAGUCUAGUGUGAUAUCAUGGACUAGGUUUACAAAGUUAUUCCUAGAGAAGUAUGUUUCUAAACAUCUAGAGAAUCAUAUAGAGCUCAAGUUUCUACAGCUCAAGCAAGAGAAUAUGUCGGUAGCUGAGUACGCAGCUAAGUUAUUGAACUUUCGAGAGAUAUUACGCAUCAAAUAGAUAAAGACAAAAAGAAAGCUAGACGUUUUCAUCCGGAUUUAAAGUCCUAAAUUCCGAAUAGGAUUGUUGUUCUCAAGAUUGUUAGCUAUGCGACGUAAGUGUACAAAACUUGUAUAGUUGAGGCAAGCAAUGAGUUGUUUUACAAAGAGAUUGUCGAUAGGAAACAGAAAAUCCCUGCAAAUUAAUCAUAAUAUAGAAAAGAAACGUUGGACUCAUGGUGGGAAGAAACCUUUUGUGUAAUAAGAAAUGCCGCGAGCAGAGAAUAUAGGUGAAAUAGAAAGAAAUCAAAGGUUUAGAACUUCUCAAACUGCGAACGCGUUACAAGGGAGAUCCCUGUUGCCUGAGUAGAAGAUCUGUAGAAUAUGCUAUUUAUGAAUAAUAUUACGUUUCACACUAUUUCAGCUCAAGUUCACAUCAAAUCUCAUUUUGAAAACUGAGAAGUUUAUUAUGUAUCUUGAAUCCUUCUUUUGUUCGGAAGCGACUACUCCUAAUAAUCAAUAUUUCUUUGAUGUUACAAAAUCUUUUCUGAUUCAUGAUUCGAGAAUUGGAAUAAAUAUACACCACAAUGAUGAUCUCAAUCUAAUAAUUCUAAGAGAUCGUCUUAUAUUUGAUUCUAUUUUUGAUUUUAUCCACUAAAAAUCCUUGAAUUGUAAUUAAAGGAUGCAUUGCUCACAUUCCUUGGAAGAAGUGUGUUGAGAAAUAAUUAUGGCAGAUCAAGGUUGUCCAAAUUGUGAAAUAACGAUUCAAAAGCAAAUCUUUGAAAUAAAUCUUCCUUGAUAUUUCUUUAAUCUGAUUGGGAUGAACAACCCUAAUUAUAGGGGACACAAGGUAUACCUAUCUGUGUGAUAGGAGUUGGAUGGGACGCCAUCACUUGUGUGUGUUGUAAUUACAAGAAGGUUAACAACCUUUAGUAGUGUCUUAAUUUAGACACGCAACACUUAGUUCAUUUGAUCGUAUUAGGCUCCCAAUCAUCCUUUUAAUUCAAAUGAAAGCUAUUUUGAAAAAUCAUUGAUCGGUGAUUACCAUUGUGAAAGACUCCUAUAUAUCUAAGAAAGUUUUAUAAUUCUUAUUUCUUUUGAGUUCUCUUCAAAAUGCUCAGAUUUCAAAUUCUUUGAUUUUGUUCUUUUAAAAAAAUACAAUUUUCUUUUAAAAGUGUUUCAAGAAGUCUUGUAUGGAGACAUCAAAUUCAGACCCCCGAAUAUGAGGAUUGUUACAUCGAUUAUCGAGAGUUAAAUAAGUCGACCCUUUACUUAGGGUUGAUGAUUUGUUUAAUCAGUUAAAGAGAGCAUCUUACUUUUUAAGAUAGACUUGAGAUCUAGAUAUCAUCAGUUAAAGAAUAAGGUUUGAAAAUGGACCUAAGACAGCUUUUAGAACCAAUAUGGACAUUAUAAGUUCUUGGUGAUACCUGUUGGAUUGACUAAUGCACCUACAACAUUUAUGGAUCUUUGGAUGUAUAUUCUAAAAAUAUUUGGAUAAGUUCAUUAUUAUAUUAUCAAUGAUAUUUUGAUUUAUUCUAAGACAAAAGAAGCACACGUUGAGUAUCUUAGGAUACCUUGGAAAUUUUGAGGAAAUAAAAGUUAUAUGCAAAAUUUUCAAAAUGUGAAUUUAGAUAAAGCAAGUACAGUUUUAGGGCAUAUGGUUCAGAGAAAGAAAUGUUGGUAGACCCCAAAAAAAAAAAAAAAAAAAAUUGAGACCUUAUCAAAUUGGGAUAGAUUGAGGAUCCGAACAGAAGUGGGAAAUAUUCUUGGAUUAGCAGGAUAUUGUAGAUUAUUCGUUAAAAGAUUUCUCUGAGAUUGAGACUCUUUUGACCAAGUUGAUUAGGAAAGAAGAGAAGUUUGAAUGAACACCUAAAUGCAAGGAGAGCUUUCAACAAUUAAAGAAGCGAUUUAUAAUAAUAACCUCUGUGUUAACCUUACCUAACGAGACAAGAAAUUUUUUGAUUUAUAACGAUUCAUCCCAUAAAAGACUAGGAUGUGUUCUUAUGCAAUAUGAAAAAGUGAUAACGUAUGCUUCACGACAACCUAAGGAUUACAAGUUGAGAUACCCUACCCAUGAUCUAGAGUUAGCUACUAUAGUAUUUGCCCUAGAGAUUUGGUGACAUUAUUUGUAUGGUGAGAAAUGUGAGAUAUUCACGGAUCAUAAGAGUUAAAAUACUUGUUUACUUAGAAAGAGUUGAAUUUGAGAUAAAAGAAAUUGUUAGAAUUAAUAAAAAUUAUAACUGUACAAUCAACUAUCAUCCAGGAAAAGCAAAUGUAGUUGCUGAUGCUUUAAGUAGAAAAGAAAGGAGCAAUGUGAUGCCUACUAAAGGAAUUAAUUAAGGAGAUGAAGUAUUAGAAUUAGAACUUAAAGAUUCAGAGCACAAGGAGAGAAGGAUUUCUGAGAUGUUAGUACAACCAGAAUUAAUCGGAAAAAAAAAAAAGAAGAAGAAGAAGAAGAAAGUGUCAAGAAUUGAUGAUUGAAGAAAGACAUUCUGAAUUGACAGAUGGUGAAUGCUUAAAUGUUAAAGAAGAAAAAGGAAAUAAGAGAUUUGCUAAUAAGAUUUGAAUUUCUAACAUAACAGAUCUUAAACGGGAUAUUUUGAGUGAAGCCCAUAAGUCGAGAUAUUCUAUACACCUAGUGAGUAUCAAAUAUCAAGAUUUGAAGAAGAACUAUUGGUGAUCUAAUAUGAAAAGUGAGAUCGCGUAUUGGGUAAGUAAAUUGUCAGAAAGUAAAAGCUAAACACCAACGACCUAGCGGGUUGUUGCAACCAUUAUAAAUCCCAGAAUGGAAAUGGGAACACCUCACCAUGAAUUUUAUAAUAGGUUUACCUAGAACUCGAGCUAAUCAUGACUCUAUUUGGAUAAUUGUGGAUAGAUUGACAAAAUCUGUGCAUAUUCUUCAUAUUAGUGAGGAACAUAACCUUGAGAGAUUAGUAAAGAUGUAUGUGAAUGAAGCUGUGGCUAAGCAUGGAUUACCAGUUGAGAUACCAGAUUUACAUCAAGAUUUUUACAAGAAUUUAAGGAAUUUUGUGGAACUAAGCUUAACCUAAAUACUGCAUAUCACCUCUAGACUGAUGGACAGAGUGAAAGAACAAUUAAAACUAUAAGGAGAUAUGUUAAGAGCUUGUCCUUUGGACUUUAAAGGAAGUUAGAAUGGUCACUUAUCUUUAAUAGAGUUUGUUUAUGACAACAAUUAUCAUUCUAGUAUUGGGAUGGAACCUUACGAAGCAUUAUAUAGUAGGAAGUUUAGAUCGCCUCUUUGUUGGGAUGAAGUUGGAAAAAAGAGAAUCUUAAGGCCAGAAUUGUUCAGCAGACCAAACAAUCAAUCCAAGACUGACAAAAGAAAUAUGCGAAUUUAGAAAGGAAAGAGAAAUAAGUUGAAAGUGUUUCUUAUAAGUUAGCUUUACCCCAGAUUUUACAACAUAGUCACGAUAUUUUUCAUGUGUCUUUAUUAAAGGCCUACAAGACCGAUAAUUACCAUGUUUUAAACUAUGAGCCAUUAGGUAUUCAGUCUAAUUUAAUAUACGAAGAGAAACCAAAAGAAAUCGUCGAUUCAAAGUUUCAAAAGCUGAGAAAUAAGAAAAUGAAAGGUGAUUUGGCGGAACCAGCCACGUGGAGUUAGAAGAUGAAAUGAGAAAAAGCUAUCCAGAAUUAUUCGGCACAAUCAUGAUUCCGAGGACGGAAUCUUUUAAGGAGGGAAGAAUGUAACAACCCUGAAAAUUCACAAGUACGUAAAAAUAUAGUUAUUUAAUUAUUUACCGUGUAAAAAGAAUAUAUUAUUAAUCUCUGAUUUAAUAAGAAUUUAUAGUGCGAGAAGUCUGGAUCAACAUAGUGUAGCGACAGAAAGACUAGAAGACACGUAAUAUUAUUUGGUAUGGGUCAGUCUUUUAAUCUAAAUAUGUACAUUAACUAGAAAGUUCCGUUUAUACGAAAAAUAGAAUAGACACGAAGAUUUAUUUAAUUACCAACUCAUGAAUAAAUAUUGCGUCUUAGUCGAGAUGAUUAUUUUAUUUUUCUUAUAUUAUAAAUUUGGGGUUAGCCAGGAAAUAUUAAAAUAGUUAGUAAUAUAUUUAUUUAAAUAUUUUGUACGAUUUUGAGUUAUUUAAUAUUCGUGUUUGAUUAAAAAUCGAAACGAAAAUAAUCCGAGCGGGAUCGAGUAAAUUAAUAAUUAAACGUUUCUUGGGGCGUAAGAAAUGAAACUUGCAGCUCAAGUCUCAAUACUUGGCGCCCAAGCAAAAUAAUUAAUUAAAGACAAAUUAUGGAGUAAUUAAGUGAUAAUCAUAAUUAACAAUACAGUAUAAAAAUCAAAGCAAUGAGCCAAACAUUCUUUUACCAAAAACCAGUGAAGGGAAGAGUGUUGGCCAGGAAGCUUUUUGGUGUAAAAUGGAGGAGUUUGCAACUCAAUCGAAUCAUAUAAUAUUAAGGUAAAAAAUAACUCACUCUCAUCUUUUCUUUUCGAAAUAAAUAAAUAUGAUAGGUUAUGUAAAGUUAUAUGGUUUGUAGGACCCCUAUACUCAAUUCACUACUUUAAAAUUCUGAAUGUAGCCUAACAAGAACCAGUGUAUAUAUCUAUACUCUUGUGACGCAAAAUCUGGUUUUUCCCCAAAAAUAUGCAAAUCCAAAGUUAGGAGUAUAAAUGAAUUUGGGAUUAUUUAUAAAUAAUGUAUAAAUUUGUGUUCUUGAAAUCAAGUUGGGGGCUUUGCUUGAAUCUGGUUGUAUUGUAAAAAAAUGGGUUUAGAUCAAAUUGUGGGGCUGAUUUGUUGUUAAAAUCGGAGCAGUGGGCUGGUGGUGGUAGCUGGCCGGAGCUCGCGUCGGCGUCGCCGACGGAGCCCGCGGCGGUGCGCAGCGACGGUGAGCGAAACAGAGAUGGUGAGGAAAGCAAGAGAGAGGGAGAGGUAUGUGUGGGCUGUGUGCGUGUGUACGUCGGGGAGGAAGCCGACCGUGGCAGCGAGAUGGUGGUGAUUGGCAGCGAGAAGAGAGAAAGGGAGAGAGAGAGAGAGAGAGAGAGAGAGAGAAAGAGAGAGAGAUUAGAGAAUAGAGAGAUGAGAGUAGGCCACCAGAGCCAUACUCCGGCCGGCGGGGAAGAAAUGGUGAAGAGAAGAGGAAGAUGGGGAGAGAUGGAGAGAGUAGUUUAAUAAUUAUAUAAUUAAAAAUUUCUAUAUGUAAUAAAAGGUAAUAAAUUUGGGUUUUUAAGUAAUAUAGGUUGAAUAAGGGAUUUGGGGUAAUAAAAAUUAUUGGAUUUGGGGUUAAGAAUUUCAAUUGAAAAAGAGCAGCGUACAAAUAUUAAUUUAAAAAUGUUUUGAUUAAUAAAAAUACUAUUUUGGGUAUAGAUAUAUAUAAUAAGGAAGUGGAAAUCGAUAUUGAAAGAAGCUUAAUAAUAAUUGUUGAGUUGGUAAAUUUUGGGAUUUAAAUUUGGUAAUAAUUGGAUAAUAUAUUUGGGUAAAAUAUUUAAAAGAGAUUUAGAAUUUAGAGGUAAUUUAAUAAUUUGAUCUUUAUUAUUUAAUAAAUGGGCGAUUAACAAUAUUAGCCGAAUAAGAGGACAUCAUUAAAAAUGAGGUCUCCGUUAAGCGGAUUAAUAAUUAUUCAAAUGAUAAAGGUGAAUUUGUACAAGUGUAGAGGUAAGAAGUUAUUGAUGUUAGUUAAUAGAAUUGUGGUAUCAUUGAAGCAAGAGACUAUAUUUAUCACAUAAUAAAUCAUAUAAAUGAUCUCUUUCUUAUAAAGAGAUUUUUAAAUCAUUAUUUUGUGUGGCUUAGAAUAUAAAAUAUCGGGAAAAGACGGAGCCAGUUGUAUAUUAAUUUCGGAAGGUCUUGUCAAGCUAAGGACAUCAGGCAAGUUCACUAUCCCUCUCUUGACGUGAAAAUUUUCGUGCCUAUUUGAUGAUUGUGUGAAAAGUGUUGAUUGUGAAGAUAUUACAUUUCGUACCAAUGUGAAUCGAGGAAAUAUCUCCGUUUCAUUUUGAAGGCUUUAAAGAUAUUGUUCAUAUAGUACUUUUUAUAAUUCGAGCCCUCCCAUUGUACGGGAAUGAGCUGAUCCUAAUAACGAUAAUAUUUUGAAUCUUCAAAACUUGAGGUGAAUACAUUGCAGCGAUGAUCUCACCACAAUUAACUUACUCACUUUUGGAGAUCAUCUUAUUCUUUGGAAUCUAGUUAUUUUAAUUAUCCUUCACUUCUACCUUCGGGUAAUCUUUGUUGAAAGGGUGCAUUGUUCGCACUUCUUUGGUAGAGAUGAGUAGUGUUUAUUUGGGAGAAUUUUCUUGUAUUCGGAGGAAUCUAUUCAAGCUGGUCAACACGAAUUUAUUAAAUUCGUGGUAGAGUUGAGAAUUUACUAUCUGGUAAGGCAGAUAGUUUAGGGUUACAAAUGUUAACCCUUAUGCUAGCAAAUGAGAGUGGUAGGUGUGUCUUGUGUGGUUACGAUCAGACUGCAAAGAUCACACAGGAGAACGGUAUUCACGAAAUGGUGCUGAUCGAGCCAUGUAGUGUUACCGAAAGGUGGAAGACCAGCGUUUUCUUUACUGGAACUUGUGUUGUCAUUUGACGAUAGCUGCUUUGUUACUUUGGCUUGAAUUGUUUCUAUGCCUUACGUGCAUAUUCUGUUGAUUGUUGUUUUGCUCUAUGUGGACUUGCUGAGCAAUUUGAUUGCUCAUUCUUGCAUCUGUUUUAUUCCUGUUUGAGCAGUAAAUAGUGUGUAUGGCACAACUCAAGAGAACCGCCGGAAAUGGGUUUUUGGCAAAGACAGGGAAAGGGCGCAUCACCCAAGCUGAUACUGCUAGACUACUCAACUUGGUAGUACGAGCUAUAGUUAUUAUAAUGGUCUGAAAUCAGACUUCCCUUUAUGUAAUAAAGUUAGACUCAGUAGGAAUGUUGUAAGACAAUCGACCCUGGACUUGUGGGGCAAGAGUUGGAUUGUAUUAUAUUAAUAUGUAAUGCAAGUAUUGUUUUGAGCCAGAUGUUUAGUGGCGGACCAGAUCUGCGGGAUGUAGAUCUGGGGGCGUCACACAAUAUCUCUUUUAUACAUACUUUUUC
rnacentral:lncRNA from 1 species